rnacentral:rRNA from 1 species
CAAUAGCGUAUAUUAAAGUUGUUGCAGUUAAAAAGCUCGUAGUUGGAUUUGUGGCGUACGGUGUGUUCCGGGCACUUGUUGUCUGAGUAACCUGCUGUUGCCAUCCUUGGGUGGAACCUGUGUGGCAUUAGGUUGUCGUGCAGGGGAUGCCCAUCAUUUACUGUGAAAAAAUUAGAGUGUUCAAAGCAGGCUUAUGCCGUUGAAUAUAUUAGCAUGGAAUAAUGAGAUAGGACUUUUUUGCUAUUUUGUUGGUUUGCGCAAAGAGGUACUGAUUAAUAGGGACAGUUGGGGGUAUUCGUAUUCCAUUGUCAGAGGUGAAAUUCUUGGAUUUUUGGAAGACGAACUACUGCGAAAGCAUUUACCAAGGAUGUUUUCAUUAA